rnacentral:rRNA from 1 species
AGCUUGCAGCCAGCUGCGAGGCUUGGUGUGAAUUGCGGGACACACUAAGCACUUACUCUUUGAACGCACAUUGCGGCCUCGGGCUUUCCCAUGGCUUCGUCUGUGUGAGGGUC